rnacentral:lncRNA from 1 species
CUAGUUGCAUCCAUGUUGCUGCAAAUGGCAUAAUUUUGUUCUUUUUUAUGGCUGAGUAGUAUUCCAUUGUAUAUAUGUGCCACAUCUUCUUAAUCCAUUCAUCUGUCAUUGGACAUUUAAGUUAGGUGGGGAGCAGUGCCAUUAUUAAAGUCUCCUUUCCAUAUUGUGGAUUUUAGGCAAGCUCCAGUUGGGACUAAGGUCAGGAGAUGGCAUGUGCACUAAGUGGAGGAGGACGCAAAGAUAAAAUCGGCAAGCACACAGCAGGUCCAGCUCCUACUGUGCUCACGUGUCUAUUGAGCCUUUACUAUGAGAGGUGUCCAUGAGGUCAGCUGAAAAGAGAGGCAUGAGGGGUAAGAGGGCAUUUCAGUGAAACUUGGCUACAUGAACAACAGAAGGGAAGCAUGACCUUUGCUACUCUGUAAGUCACCAGAAGUCUAUAAUGAAAGCCCAUUAAACAGGGCUGGGAAGGGUUGUGCAAUGCUAGGUUUAAAAAUAUGAUAUAAAAUCAUUAAUGUCAAAAUCUACCACUCAUCAUAUUUGACAUUUUUAUGAAAACUCCUGAACAUGUUUUUUCACCCCUGUUAGAACUGAGGCAGAGUCCACCUCGGUUUUAUCUUUAUUUCUCUGCAUCUUGUACAGUGCUUUGUUUGCGGUAACACCCAUAAAGAUGAGCCACAUGAGUUCAUGGUUCUUUCCCGUCCAUGUCUAGCUUGUCAGCCACAGGAGGACAGGUUGAGUGCAUUUUUUCAUUGAUAUGUUUUCUCAGGAGACUAGAAAAGUGCAUGCAUUGAAGGUACUAAAUAAAUGCUGGUUCCAUUGAAAAGAAACCUCUGACACCCAAUUUUUCUGAUCCAGGCCUCCCCCAGUGCCCUUUUCCCAACCUGGCAGGGCCGAGUUGGGGUUCCUCUAGUGCCAAACAAAGCUCGCUCCUGUAAUCUAGCUGCUGAGCGUCUGUAGCAUUUUGAUAUAAAGCAUUAAAACAUUUCCUCAGCCAAGUGUUUUACACAACAUAAAAUAUUUUCCUAUGCUAAUGUUUCUUUUAUUGAGUUUUUUACAAAAAAAAUUAUCACACAUUCUACAGAUAUUCAGCAACACUUACUCAACUGAAACGCAAAAUAAAAUUACAGAAACACCAAAUACAGACAUUCUCUCAAAUUAACCAGAAAGAACGGAUUGUUAGUGAAGAAAAUAGUCUACGUAAAUCGCUGCACAGCCCCUGACUAGGGCUCUCUUCCGCCAAAACGUCACUUUGGUGGGGCCCCUUCUGGCUCCACUGUCCCUUUACCUGCUGACCCACCAAUCAGGACAGAGACGGAGCAUCCCAAGUUUACGUUCAUUGGAAGAGGGCCAUGUUGUAGUUCGAAGGACCACAAAGCAGACCAACGCUACACAUGGUACAGCCAAGAUGAAUGCAAGUACGGAGGCCACAUAGACUCGGCAAGAGCUGCUGCAUUGAGAGAAACACUCUCAACUGUCUGAAGAAAGUGGAAGUGGUCUCUCGCUAGGGAAGGACCAUCGUCUGGGGAAAAGGUGACCUGGGGAUGGCAGAGGAGAGUGGACCCUAAAGGUCUGGGCAUGCAGGUGAGCUUGUAAGGAAGAGGAAGUGUAGGGAGGAUAUCACAUAGGAAAUCAGUGAGGGGAGGCCACGUGGGUGCUCCCUCUUCUGGGAAGUGAAACCACAGCCUGUGUAUGGUGCUCAGGGAAGAAGACUAACUGCCCAGACCUCGAUUGUUAUGCUUCCACCUGUAACUAAAUCACACCAAUUUUGUCUCUCUGUGAGUCAGAGGCAAAGGGUCAAGAGCAUAGACCCUGGCUGAUAGGGUUAAUAGCACUCUAUAUGCACCAUUUCUGAUCUUUGAAAUCACCCACAAAUUCAUCAAAAGGAGUAUUUUCACUCCUAGUUGACAGAUGAAGAGACAAAGGACUAGGAAGUUUAAGCAUCUUGCUAAGUGUUGCACUCCACAGAGCGGUGGAGACCCAGGACCGGUCACUCACACAUUGGUUUCCUCCAUAUCUCAGUUCAAAUUUUCCUCUCUCAGUGAAGGUGGCAACUAAAUGUCCAUCCACAGGUGUAUGGAUACAGAAGAUGUUGUUCAUAUAUAGUGGAAUAUUACUCAGCCAUAAAAAGGAAAUAAUGCCAUACUAAAUGAAGUAAGCCAGACAGAAAAAAACAAAUAUCAUGUGAUAUUUGUGGAAUUUUGUGGAAUUUUGCUUGUAUGUGGAAUUUUAAAAAGAUAAAAAUGAACUUAAUACAAAACAAAACAGACCCAGAGACAUAGAAAAUAAACUUAUGGUUACCCAAGGGGAAGGUGGGGAAUAAAUUAGGAGUUUGGGAUUAACAUAUACAUACUACUAUAUAUAAAACAGACAACAAGGACCUACUGUAUAGCAGAGAGAACUAUGUCCAAUAUUUUGAAAUGUUGAAGAAUGAGGAAAAAAUACAUAACUGAUUCACUUAACCAUACACCUACAACUAACAACAAUUGUAAAUGAACAAUACUUCAAUUUAAAAAAAGGGAGUUCCCAUGAUGGCUCAGUGGUGAACGAGCCUGACUAGUAUCCAUGAGGAUGUGGGUUCGAUUCCUGGUCUCGCUCAGUGGGUUAAAGAUCCAGCAUUGCCAUGAGCUGUGGUAGAGGUUGCAGAUGCGGCUCGGAUCUUGUGUUGCUGUGGCUGUGGCAUAGGUUGCCAGCCACAGCUCUGAUUCAACCCCUAGAUUGGGAACCUC